rfam:Listeria grayi DSM 20601 plasmid unnamed plasmid scaffold SCAFFOLD4, whole genome shotgun sequence.
CGAAAUAUGUUAUACUAAUAGAUGCAAACGGGUUUAUGGUGGUGCGCCAGCCUUUUUCAUCGGUCCUUCCGAUAGAAAGCAGGUGGUGCUUAUGUUAUUUUUAAGCGUUACCCAGAAAGGAUAAACGUGUGACUGUUUACGAGAGUCUUACACUAAUGAUUGCCUUUGCAGUCUUAGUUGUAACGAUCAUGAACAGCAA